CUGAUUUAGGCUCUCACGAUUAUUAUUUUAAUGGAAGUAACAUUUUACUGAGGACAUUUUCCUGUUCCACCUUAAAUGGUGCAGCAGUGACAUUUUGAACUAUGAAUUUUGUUAAGGUGGAACGAGAAAUUUUGAACAAGCAGCCGGCGAAAAAGAAGCUGACUUCAUGGAGGGUUGAAGCGAACGAUAUUAUGAUGUUUCACUAUUUCCACUUAACAGCUGAGCAACAGUAACUUAUUCUGCUGUUGAACAGAGCCGAUGAGAUUUGCCUCUCAUAACGUUGGUCCGACUGCCAACUCUUUUCUACCUUCCUCUCGCACCUGCAACCGGCUGACCGAGGAGGCGCAGUUCAUCUCGAGCAAGUCUAAUACUUCACAAGGAACUAACAAACUGAGGGAGUUGAAGUAGCGUGUUAAACAGAUGACCUGAUAAAUAAUCAGGAGGGCGAGAGUCACGUGAGGGAGGUCUAGGGUCAUGUGAUCUGGAGGGGCAUUCUUGGAAAUGGAGUGUGACAACGGAGCCGGAGGAAGCCAUGACACUGUUAUUUAAUUUAAAAAAUAAAGUAAUGUUGACAAAUUGUUUUGGUGAAUACAUACACAGGUCACAAGGGGUACAUUUUCUGAUUUCUCAACACUGAACUAAACUUUCAAAGUAAACUGGCUCAAAACAAUUUCUUGAGAGUCCCAUUUCUAUUUGGAAUUUCAUCCUUCAUCUUAUUUUCACCAAAUAAAGUGAUGUUGGUUUUCUCUUGAUGUGUAAUUAAGAC
ensembl:lncRNA